UACAGAGGGUGCAAGCGUUAAUCGGAAUUACUGGGCGUAAAGCGCACGUAGGUGGCUUGAUAAGUUGGGUGUGAAAUCCCCGGGCUUAACCUGGGAAUUGCAUUCAAGACUGUCUUGCUAGAGUGUGGAAGAGGGAAGCGGAAUUCCAGGUGUAGCGGUGAAAUGCGUAGAGAUCCGGAAGAACACCGGUGGCGAAGGCGGCCCGCUGGGCAACUGCUGACACUGAUGCGCGACAGCGUGGGGAGCAAACAGG
rnacentral:rRNA from 1 species